AUCAUGAGGGUGCUACGUGGCGAUAGGAUUAUCUGGAGGAGAAGAAGGAGAGCAGAGGAUAUUAUUAUCUGGUAGGGAGCCCAGUGCGAGAUGGAGCUUCGGGAGCCAGAUAGAGCCCAGAGCGAGGUGGAGCUCCAGGUGGAGGUGGAUCGGGCACGAGACAGGAGAUUCAAGAGGACGAAAGGCGACGUCGCAAGGUGAAAUUCUUAUUACCACAGGAUGAUACCCCAAGUAGG
rnacentral:lncRNA from 1 species